rnacentral:lncRNA from 1 species
GUCACUUGGUCAGUUGGUCACUCCUUGGUCACUCAUUGGUCACUGGGCAGUCACUGGGUGGUCACUCAGUGGUCACUGGGCGGUCAGUUGGUCACUGGGCGGUCACUCAGUGGUCACUCAGUGGUCAGUGACUGGUCAGUGUCACAGAGGGGAUAUCCAGGGGGUGGUCAGUUGGUCACUGGGUGGUCACUCAGCGGUCACUUGAUGGUCACUGGGUGGUCACUGGGCAGUCACUGGGUGGUCACUCAGCGGUCACUUGUCGGUCACUCAUUGGUCACUCAUUGGUCACUUGUCG